CCUGCGGAGCCUUGAAUACAAUAUAAGGGUCAACGAACCCAAUACUAUUGUCAUUUAUGAUUUUGAGGUCUCUCAUUUGGUGCCUGCAUAUAUACAUACAAAUCCUAAGUGUGUAAGGAUUAUAUACAUGUAAUUAAAGAAGUUAGAAUUUUAAUAAAAAGAAAGAAAUACUUACAAACAAAAGCAGCUGAUAGGAGAUUUGUCG
rnacentral:lncRNA from 1 species